rnacentral:rRNA from 1 species
GACGAAUGCUGGCUGCGUGCUUAACACAUGCAAGUCGAACGGUGAAGGGGAGCCUGCUCCCCGGAUCAGUGGCGAACGGGUGAGUAACACGUGGGCAACCUGCCCCUCACUCUGGGAUAACUCCGGGAAACCGGGGCUAAUACCGGAUACGACCGGGAGCGACAUCGCUCCUGGUGGAAAGAACUUCGGUGAGGGAUGGGCCCGCGGCCUAUCAGCUAGUUGGUGGGGUAACGGCCCACCAAGGCGACGACGGGUAGCCGGCCUGGGAGGGCGACCGGCCACACUGGGACUGAGACACGGCCCAGACUCCUACGGGAGGCAGCAGUGGGGAAUAUUGCGCAAUGGGCGAAAGCCUGACGCAGCGACGCAGCGUGAGGGACGAAGGCCUUCGGGUUGUAAACCUCUUUCAGCGGGGACGAAGCGAAAGUGACGGUACCCGCAGAAGAAGCACCGGCUAACUACGUGCCAGCAGCCGCAGUAACAC